GACAGAGGGUGCAAACGUUGUUCGGAAUUACUGGGCGUAAAGCGUGUGUAGGCGGUCCUCUAAGUCGGGUGUGAAAGCCCAGGGCUCAACCCUGGAAGUGCACUCGAAACUGGAAGGCUAGAGUACCGGAGAGGUUGGUGGAAUUCUCGGUGUAGAGGUGAAAUUCGUAGAUAUCGAGAGGAACACCGGUGGCGAAGGCGGCCAACUGGACGAGUACUGACGCUGAGGUGCGAAAGCGUGGGGAGCAAACAGG
rnacentral:rRNA from 1 species